rnacentral:rRNA from 1 species
GACGAACGCUGGCGGCGUGCUUAACACAUGCAAGUCGAACGGAAAGGCCCUGCUUUUGUGGGGUGCUCGAGUGGCGAACGGGUGAGUAACACGUGAGUAACCUGCCCUUGACUUUGGGAUAACUUCAGGAAAGUGGGCCUAAUACCGGAUAGGAGCCCCUGUUGCAUGGUGGGGGUUGGAAAGUUUCGGCGGGUGGGGAUGGACGCGCGGCUUUUCAGCUUGUUGGUGGGGUAGUGGCUGACCCAGUCUUUGACCGGUAGCCGGCCUGGGAGGGUGACCGGCCACAACGGGACUGAGAUACGGCCCAGACUCCUACGGGAGGCAGCAGUGGGGAAUAUUGCACAAUGGGCGGAAGCCUGAUGCAGCAACGCCGCGUGCGGGAUGACGGCCUUCGGGUUGUAAACCGCUUUCGCCUGUGACGAAGCGUGAGUGACGGUAAUGGGUAAAGAAGCACCGGCUAAUUACGUG